UGGGAAUCUUGCACAAUGGGGGCAACCCUGAUGCAGCGACGCCGCGUGAGCGAUGAAGGUUUUCGAAUCGUAAAGCUCUGUCCUAUGGGAAGAUAAUGACGGUACCAUAGGAGGAAGCCCCGGCUAACUACGUGCCAGCAGCCGCGGUAAUACGUAGGGGGCGAGCGUUGUCCGGAAUUACUGGGCGUAAAGGGUUCGCAGGCGGCAUGGCAAGUCCGAUGUAAAAGGCGAAGGCUCAACCUUCGUAAGCAUCGGAAACUGUCAAGCUUGAGUGAAGGAGAGGCAAGUGGAAUUCCUAGUGUAGCGGUGGAAUGCGUAGAUAUUAGGAGGAAUACCGGUGGCGAAGGCGACUUGCUGGACUUCAACUGACGCUGAGGAACGAAAGCGUGGGUAGCAAACAGG
rnacentral:rRNA from 1 species